CCAGACGUUCGACCGUCUGUAGCCUAGGAUCGAUGCGGGGUGGGUAACUGCCCGGUAUUGAGCGAUCUGACAAUGUAGCCACCUUACGGGGUACGCUGACUCCGCGAGGGGGCAUGCGUGUAUCUGGGUAAACGCACUCGGAGAGGCGC
rfam:Xanthomonadales bacterium 63-13 scnpilot_p_inoc_scaffold_410, whole genome shotgun sequence.